UACGUAGGGACCAAGCGUUGUCCGGAAUCAUUGGGCGUAAAGAGCGUGUAGGCGGCUUGUUAAGUCUUGCGUGAAAUCUCGGGGCUCAACCCCGAGCGGUCGUGAGAAACUGGCAGGCUAGAGUGCGGGAGAGGAGAGUGGAAUUCCUGGUGUAGCGGUGAAAUGCGCAGAUAUCAGGAAGAACACCCGUGGCGAAGGCGGCUCUCUGGACAGUUCCUGACGCUGAGGCACGAAGGUCAGGGGAGCAAACGGG
rnacentral:rRNA from 1 species